AGCAUACACCCACAAUUAAAGUUUACACAGGUGUUAGUUUUGAUAACAUUUUUGCUUCAUAAAUGUGACUUUGAAGUGCGAGAUGCUUGUGCAGACCACAAGUGGCACGCGCAGGCUCCGAAGCAGCAGAGAGCAAAUGGUUUUAGAUGAAUCUUUCUGGGUGGUGGAGAGAGAAGCUUCCCGCUACCUGCCUUAGUGCACGUCAUUGUCUGUCUAUGAUAAAGGAUGCAUGGAGACUUCUUUAAAUAGACAGCAGUUCAGUAAGAGCGGACUGUGAGCUGAGUUGUACUGGCGCAUUCAUACAGCUUUGAACACUCAAGAUGUGCGUCCCUGUCUAUUGGAUUCUUUUCGCGACAUCUUUGGCUCCAUCUGUUCUGUCGAGUCUGCACCCAGACUGCGAGUACAUCUUUCAGCUGGAGAGGGAGGAGCGGCGUUGUCUUCGGUACAUUGCAGAGCAGAACCACAGUACAGUUGAAAACAGUACAGUACUUUUCAACUUCGAUGCAUUGCAGAACCACAGUAUGCUAGGUAUCUGACAAUAUCCUCCUAGAAUCACCCAUUACGCUUUCUCACUCCAGUUUCCGGCUUAUAGAUUAGAUCUCGAGUAUAGAUUGUCAUAAUAUGAUAUAUGUUCACAUCUAAACGUGAGAGUCCGCCAUUGAAUAAAUGGUUUGCAGAUAAUCAUUUGCGGAAAGGACAGGUUCAGAGGGGAAAACUAUCGUAGUGGAAAAGUAGUACAUGCAUUAUGAUUUAUCAAAAGAGAGGACGUAAGAUACAGUUGUAGUCGGAAGUUUACAUACACUUAGGUUGGAGUCAUUAAAACUAGUUUUUCUACCACUCCACGCAUUUCUUGUUAACAGACUAUAGUUUUGGCAAGUCGGUUAGGACAUCUACUUUGUGCAUGACACAAGUAAUUUUUCCAACAAUUGUUUACAGACAUAUUAUUUCACUUAUAAUUCACUGUAUCACAAUUCCAGUGGGUCAGAAGUUUAUAUACACUAUAUACACUGACUGUGCCUUUAAACAGCUUGGAGAAUUCCAGAAAAUGAUGUCAUGGCUUUAGAAGCUUCUGAUAGACUAUUGACAUAAUUUGAGUCAAUUGGAGGUGUACCUGUGGAUGUAUUUCAAGGCCUACCUUCAAACUCAGUGCCUCUUUGCUUGACAUCAUGGGAAAACUAAAAGUAAUCAGCCAAGACCUCAGAAAAACAAUUGUAGACCUCCACUAGUCUGGUUCAUCCUUGGGAGCAAUUUCCAAAUGCCUGAAAGUAACACGUUCACCUGUACAAACACCAUGGGACCACGCAGCCAUCAUACAGCUCAGGAAGGAGAUGUGUUCUGUCUCCUAGAGAUGAACGUACUUUGGUACAAAAAGUGCAAAUCAAUCCCAGAACAACAGCAAAGGACCUUGUGAAGAUGCUGGAGGAAACGGGUACAAAAGUAUCUAUAUCCACAGUAAAAUGCGUCCUAUAUCGACAUAACUUGAAAGGCCGCUCAGCAAGGAAGAAGUCACUGCUCCAAAACCGCCACAAAAAAAGCCAGGCUACGGUUUGCAACUGAACAUGGAGAAAUGUCCUCUGGUCUGAAGAAAUAAAAUAGAACUGUUUGGCCAUAAUGACCAUCGUUAUGUUUGGAGGAAAAAGGGGAAGGCUAGCAAGCCGAAGAACACCAUCCCAACAGUGA
rnacentral:lncRNA from 1 species